CAGAGGGCGAGGCGCAAGCCGAGCCAGGCCGCAAGGCCACAGGCCCGUGUGAGUGUUUGGUUGGCAGCGAUGCUGCCGCUCUUUUAUCCAACGAAACCACUGAUCUAUGAAUGGUCA
rnacentral:misc_RNA from 1 species